rnacentral:rRNA from 1 species
GGGUUUGAUCCUGGCCCCGCUCGAACGCGUUUAGGUGGUCUAACACAUGCGUGUCAUAGGUGUUUCUUUUUCCAAAAAAAGCGCAAGUCUUUUUUGGUGUUGAAGACACCUGGCGUCCGGGUGAGUGCAUACGGAGAGUCUAUACACCUUUGGGAGAAAUUCUCGAACAAUGAGCAAACAGAAGGUUUGUUGAUUAUGGCAAAGUCCGGGGUGGAGGACAGCCGUGCGGAUUAGGUAGUUGGCUCGGUAACGGCGGGCCAAGCCCUUGAUCCGGAACGAUCCUCAGUGGGGGAAAAGUCACAGCGGGACUGAAACAUGGCCCGCCCGCUUUGGCGGCAGCAGUGAAGAAUCUUUGACAAUGGGCGAAAGCUUGAUCGAGCCAUCCUAUAAGAGACAUCCCUUGAUCUAGGGGAUUAAAGAAGGCCAACGCGUCGUAAAUCUCAUUUAUAGUGGUAUCCUACGGAUCUAUCCACUAGCUCAGUCCCGGCCAAUUCUGUGCCAGCAGCCGCGGUAAGACAGGAGGGGCGAGCGUUGAGCGUUUGUACUGGGCCUAAAGCGCGGGUAUGUGGGUAUGAAACAUAUAGCUGUUUUCUAUUUUAAAGUGUCACAUAGGAUUGCAAUCUUUGAUUGCAAUCUACACAAUCGAAGAUUGUGUUAGUGACAUUAAACAUAGAAGCAUUUGGUUGCGCAGCGAAGAAAGGCCCUCCGAGGAUGGAGGCGUUUCUAGAGUGAAUUCAUACCUGGGGUCCAUGGAAGGUUGACAGAAUGGCCCAAGGACCGGUAGAAUGGGAAGAUAUGGGUUGGAAUCUCAACAGCGAAGGCAGUCAUCUGACAUGGUACCGACACCCAGCCGCGGAAGCGUGGGGAUUCAAUGGGAUUAGAGACCCCAGUAGUCCACGCCGUCAACGAUGGAGGAGAGAGACACAGCACGUGUUUCUAAGCUAAAAGCGCAAUCCUCUCGCCUGGGGAGUAAGGUCGCAAGGCCCAAACUCAAAGGAAUAGCGUGUGAGACAGACCGGCGGUGGAACAUCGCGGUUUAAUUCGAAAAUACACGCAAAACCUUACCACUUCUUGUAUGCAA